UGGUGCUGGUGCUGGUGCUGGUGGAACGGUGUCGUUGAAGGACCAGUUGAAAAAGAAAACAACUCAUGAAACGAUCAAUAGUAAUGGCCAUGAAUAUUUUGGAAAAUUGAGUACUGAUCCUAACGUUAACAAUGUCAGUGAUGUUAGUAAUGUUAGUAGUAAUAGCAAUGGAGAAGAUAAGGAGAUUGCAAAUGCCCCAAAACCUUCUGUAAAAACUAGGCCUACUCUUACUGAUAGUGACUGGACUGAGCUUCUUAGUACUCCAACUCAGGCUUCUCCUUCAUUUCCUUCGAAUCGCAGUAAUGGGGUAUCUGCGAUUCGAGGGUUGAGGAAGGAUGGAGGUCGGAGGCAGGGGAGUUCUGGUUCAAAUUUGUCAGUGCUAGAGGGGAAGAUGAAUCUGAAGAGUAGUGGAGGAGUUAAGUCUAAGAAGAGAUUGGAUGUUGCAUUGGGAAAUAGGUUAAAUGGGAAACCGAGUGAUGAGGAAGAGUCUACAUCUUCUGCAAGGUCUUCCAGUGUUGAAUUGCAGAGUGACGCGAAGAAUUUGGAUAGGGAAGAAGUGGAUCAUAAGGACAUUGCUGUUGAUCUCAAGGAAAAACAGAGCAAUAAGGGAUAUGAGAGAAAUGGGGGGCUUUCUGAAUCUAAGGAUAUAUCUGAAGAGAAUAUUUUACGAGGGGGAAAGGGUCAUUCUUUGGAAAUGUCAUCGGUAUCGGAGAGUCUUGGUACGGCAUCUGAUGUGAAGAAGGGAGUGAGCAAUGUUUAUGAUAGACUGAGAAGUACUGUAAAGGGGAAGAAUAGAUCUGGUAGUGCAUCUAGAAGUUCUGUCUCAGAUGAUUUGAAGAAAGGUUCUUCAACAAGUGAUGCAGGGUCCGAUUCAGACAGUGAUUCAGUGGCAACAUCUGAUUCUGACAAUGAACAAGAGAGGGAGAUGAGAGAGAAGAUUUUGGCUGAGAAAGCAGCAGCUAAAGCUGUGGAGAUCAUCAAAGAGCAGGAGAAUAUGGUUGCCAGAUUAGAAGGAGAGAAACAAAGCUUGGAGAAAAUAUUGGAAGAACGAGCAAAACAGCAAGCACAGGAGGCUUCAGAGCUUCAGACAACCAUGAUGGAAACAAUGGAGGCUGUUGAUUUGGAAAAGCGGAAACAUAAUAAUACGAGAAUGGAAGCCCUAGCUCGCUUGGCUAAACUGGAGACUGCAAAUGCUGAUCUUGCAAGAUCCCUUGCUACUGCACAGAAGAAUCUUGAGAUGGAGGUAUGGUAAAUCUGAUUCAAAUGGCUAAUUUGAUAUACCUAUCAUCUUGUUCUUUCUGAAUUCUUUUCAGAAGAAUGUUGUCCACUUGUGGAGUGGUAAUUGAAGAAAGCAUCCAGCCCUAGUAUAGAAUACAGAUCUCAUGUGAAAUUUUUACCCAGAUCUUUUACUUUUUUUUGCUCCUCAUGAAAUAUGUAUCUGGAUAGCCCAAAGUCCCUAUAAUUGGCUCUUGGUCUUCCAGCUGAAAAAAACUUCAAUGGACAUGUUGAUUCACUAUUUCACAGUGGAGAUUGUAACCUAUAAUAAAUUUCCCAUUUAUCACCUGAUGAUGGAACUUUCAAUUUCUUUUUCUGUGGAUCAAUGAAUCAAAUUUUAUUUCCUGAAUAAAAUUCUCUUUUCUUUAUUCUGGGGGCGCGGGCGGGCAUGUUACAUUGGUGAUUUUGAAUCACAUUUCAUGCAUGAAUUUACAUUAUCCUUUAGAAAUCUUAUGUUGAAUGAUUUCCGAGUUGAUGGGUGAGGGUUGUAGUGGAAAAGUCAAUUAAUGUGCUGAUGAAAAUAUAUUAUGGGGCUUUGCCAAUCUACAAGAUGCUAUUUUUCCAAUGAUGACAUAUGCAAUGCUGGGUUUUUUGCUAUGGCCUUUUUACAUAGACAUGCACAUGCACAAGAUUCCAUGUGUGUGCUUGUGUGAGCGUGUAUAUAUAUAUGCACAUGAGUUUAUUUAUUUGUACAUUCCUUGUGGACCAGAUUAAUCGGGUUGCAGAACUUCGACAACAGGUUGAGUUGAAAGAAGUGGCUCAUGAAGAACUCCUCAGUAGUAUGGUCUCCAAGACUCACCAAACUGGGACAUAUCUAAACCAAGUGAGUUAUGCUUUUACUGUGAUCAUAUUGGUACAUAAACAGAGGACAAAGGGUGUCAUAACCUCACAGGGGGCUGGCUGCUUCACUUUGCUCUUUUAAAGCUUGUCUAAGGGAACAGUUUUUUCUUGGCCACUUUGUGAUCUUUAUAUUUAAUUGGAAAAUUUGUAGGCAGCAGCUUCCAAAGGAAUUGAAUUUGAAAGGGAUAUACUUGAAGCAGAGUACUCCUUUUUAACCGAUAAAAUUGGGAAACUGGAAGAUAAGGUUAGCUUUUCUGCUUUGAAUACGGCAUGUUGUUUCUUUCCUGUCAACUUGCUGUAAAAGAUUUGUGAGGCCAAUUUCUUUAGAUGCAUGAAUAUUUAUACGUUUGAGUAAUAAUCUAGAAGCAUUUUGGUUGAUUUGCAUUUUCGUUUGAGGAUAAAUGCUUUGAACUCAAGACAUUUGUGUAAGUUUAUGUGUGUAGCAUGAGUCUAGUAGAGGAGAUAAACAUAAGAUUUUUCUUGUUAGUGAAAAGCCUCUCUGGGAAAGGACAAGAAUAGAAUAAAUUGUGGAGAACUGGUCAUGAGGUUGAUGCAGUUAUCGCAAUUUUUGUCAUGAAUGAUGAAUGACCAUAUAUUGAUGUUGUUUUGGUAGAUGUUUCCAACAUGAUUGUGAAAAAUGUGAUAACUAAUGAUUUUUGGGUUGAAAAAUCAUUGGCUAGUUGACCACAAACCAUUUGCAAUUUACAUAUAAGCAAGUGGUGUUAUGUAGGCUCAUUUACUAACUUGCACUAGUCUAUAUCUGAUUAUUUAGUUUUUUGGGUUCCAUGAGAGAGAGAGAGAGAGAG
rnacentral:misc_RNA from 1 species